UGGUUCUAUGACCCAGUAUAGGGGAAUGUCAGGGCCAGGAAGCUGGCAUUUCUGUCUUUCUUUUCAUGUCAUUUUGGUUUUAUUUUAUGGUCCAAUUCAUUUUAGUUCAGGGUAAGCACAGCUUCGUGGUGAGGAUGAGAUGGAGUUCAAAGAGAAAAGGACAUCUUUCAAGCUGGUUUGAAUAUGUUCUGAACCAAAAUCAGUGUUGGACAAUUCUAUGAACUUCUUGACUCACCUCGGAGCCUCAUAAGCUGGAUCUGAAAAUGUGGCUAAUAAUUCAGAAGUGAAAAUACUUAAGUAAAAUGGAGGUGUUCAGGAGGGAAGGAGGAAGAGAUACAUUCUGGGUAGCCAUGUCAUCAGCUUCCAGUCACUGAAAUAUGUACUUUGAAAGGUUGUAAAAGGAAAAUAUUUACUUUGGCUCAUAAUUUUGUUGCUCCGACAUGAUUGUUGACUGAAAGCCAUUGCUUUGGUGGGGUAUGGCGAGCCAUGACUGUGCAUGGCAAAAAUGUUCAUCGCAAGGCUUAGACAUGAGUUAUAAUGGAGGUACAUUGGUGGUCCUGCUAUCAGCUUCAAGGACAUUCUCCACAUCGCUCAUCAAUCCCACUCUGCAGGUUAAAUAUUCACCACUUGUCAGUGCUGCCACCGUGGCAUUCAUGAGUCAGCAUAGAAGCCUUAGGGGACAUUCAUCAACAAAAACAUUAACAUGCAACCACCAAAUUCUACUGAAGUAAGACGUACUGGGUAAAACCAAUAUAAGGCAACUUCUCUUUAGGAUGACAGCUAGUAAGAAGAAAAAAAAAUGGAAAUUGGCCUGGAUUCAGAAUCCACCAAUCAGCAACUAAGGCAGGAAGACCUCAGCAUCAGGUACCACUUAAGUGAUAGAAUGAGUUAAUAAGCAGCAUAAAUAACUUCAUGGCACUUUUCUCUUAAAAGAAGGUGAGAUUGAAAGGAGAGGGUAGGCCACUUCAUGGUAGAGCCCUUCCUAGCUUGUGUGAGGCAUUGAGUUCAUUAUGAAACAAACAAAAGAAAACAAAUAGAAAGAAAAAUAAACGCCAAACAGAAACAGCAAGUGAGGAUGUGGAAGAAAAAUGGGAUCCUUAAGCUUUACAAUGAAAUAUGACAUGAAGUUACUAAGGAAAACCAUUUGGCCAUUUCUCAGUUAAUCAAAAAAGUUCUAUAUUAGCCAACAAUUCCACACCUAUGGACAUAUGUGAAAAUGAAAGCAAAGGCUUACAUAAAUAUCAUUAAAUACUAUUCAUAACAGCAUACCCUUCAAAAUUAUUUGUUUUAUAAUUUUGGGCAUAUUAUAAUAUCCUAUGAUCGAUGUCUCCCACCCAUCGUCCUCUCUUCUCUCCUUUCCUAAGUACAUGAAAUACAUUCUUCCCAACUGGCUUCCUACUUUCGUGUCUUUUUUCUUCUUAUGUGUGACAGGUUAAAUUAGGUUUCCCACCUAAAGAUGGGUGGACAGAGUUUGCUUGAGUUUUUUAAUCAGUGGCCAUAAUGCAGGAUGACCACUGAUUAAAAAAAAAAACAUAAAUAGGAUUCUCUCUCCUCUCUAGUCUUUAGCUGUCUAUACCUUUUCUGGGAGAAGAGUGGUGCCUAAGGAACCCAUCCUAUCCAUGAUGGAAUGUUGAAGGGCCAUUCUUAUUUAGGUCUUGUAAAACUAGCCAUUUUUGCUAUGAGUUCUCCCAUCCUGCUCUCUUUCCUUCCUUACCACCUUCUUGGCAUUCUCUGAGUCUUGGGGCAUUAAUAUAGGUCCCAUUUAGUGCUGACGACUUUAAUUUCACAUUUAACCACUCACAAAUCACCAUAUUUACUAUCACCUAAUGCAUUUCACACCACAUUACUUGCCAUCAAUUUGAAGAGAGCAACUGAUAACCUGGUUGUUUGGGAGUUUCUAUGAACACCUUGGAAAGAACAUGAUUAGAUGUAACCCACUUCUGGUACUGAAGACUUCGUUUGGUGAUAAGACAUGUCCAGGUGGUGCUCUGUCAUCAUCAUUAUUUGGUGAUUUCAUUUAAAUUGCCUAUAUAUAUAUAUAUAUAUAUAUAUAUAUAUAUAUAUAUAUAUAUAUAUGAAGCUUCUUCUGUAUUGGGUUUCUAUAAAACUCCCCAAAUGGUCAUUAGUUUCUCAGAAAGAUGCCUUGAAUUGAGCUAUAUUGAGAGAUUUUGUUUGUGCUGGGUUUUGAGUGGGUAUAAACUUUCUAUUCUUGUUGAAAAACACAGUACUGAAAAUACUGGUAAUAGUUGCAGCUUGUCGCAAACAUAGUUAAUGCCCCAUGAGUUUCAUAUUUAUAAACCAUUAAAUUAUAUAUUUUAUGCAACAUGAAUUUAAUUUUACUGAUGUGUUAUUAGUUUUCCCCUGCUAUAAUACAACAUCUAAGACCCGGCAUUUUGUAAACAGAAGAAAAAUUAUUUCACGAUCUUGGUUACUAGAAACCUAAAUCAAAGCAUCAUCAAAAAGUUCAGUAAUUUCUUGUAAGUCUUCCAUUUCUAGUCAUCCCCAUAACAUAGGCAGCAGAGGAAGAAGCUCCCAAAGGAUCUAAGUAGUCCCUUGGAGAUUUUUGUAUAGACAAAGCAUUUAGGAUAGUCAUCUAUUAAAGGCUUUGUGUCUCACUUCUAUAUCAUUAAGAUUUUAAAUAUAAAAUUUGUCACUGACGUCAACAUCCAAAUCCUUGUAAUUCUAUAGG
rnacentral:lncRNA from 1 species